GGACCAAUAUGUUGGUCGUGCCUAGGUACGUACUGGCAUUAUUGGUUUCUUCCUUCUGAAGAACCACGAUGCCAUUAAUUUGGUGUCAUGGGGAAUCAGGACUGUUACUUUGAAAAAAUUAGAGUGUUUAAAGCAGGCUCGCGCUUGAAUACAUUAGCAUGGAAUAAUAGAAUAGGACUU
rnacentral:rRNA from 1 species